rnacentral:lncRNA from 1 species
CCAAAUUUAAUACUAUAAUAUGAAAAAAAAAAUAUUUUCUAAGAAUAGAAUCCAAAAUUAAUUUAAAUUAAAAAUUCCAAAAACUAAAAGACUAUGUUUCUUUAAAACAAACGCAACCUGCCCUAGUCUCAAAUACGAAUAUUGCUGCUCUGCCUCCCUCUAUCAAUCUAUCAGAAUUUGGUUUUUUUCAAAGCAAUACAAAUUGAUUUGUGAAUCAAAAAUCUGCCCUAAUUUUCAACCUUUGUUUGCGCAUCCAGGUACGCCUCCUCUACUGAGUUGCUCCUUUUCUUCUUUUUCAACCUUGCUUUCUGAGUUGCUCGUUUGGAUAUUGAUUUACAGCUUUGCUAUAUUCGACUUCUUCUUCUUCUUCUUCUCUAAUAUUAAACCUGUAAAAGAGCGAUACUGAAAUAUGUUAGAAGUAUUUUGUUCUGAGGUUUUACCGAAUAUGUUGAAGUAUUCAAGAAUGAGAUCCAUAAAUUUGCAAACUUUUGAGCAAAUACACUUACUAAGUAGUGGUGUGUAUUAAAUAAUAGCAAAAGAGCGAUACUGAAUAUAUAUGAGUGCCUGCUUAUUAGCUCUCUACUUUACAG